AGGUCUCAUGUGAAGGGCUUUGACCCAUUCAGAAUUGUUUUAUUGGGCAAAGUAAUCGGUAAGGAUGAUCUUUGACUGUUCUACAUACAAAUAUCCAUUUUCCUCAGCACCACCUGUUAAAGACACUCUCUCUUUUUAGUGUGUGUAUUUGUCAAAAAUCAGAUGGUCAUAGAUGGGUGGCCAUAACAUCUGGGCUUUCAUUGAUUUCAUUGAUCCAUGUGUCUGUUUUUAUGCCAGCAUCGUGCUGUUUUUAUCACAAUGGCUUGAAUUACAACUCGACAGAAGAUGAUAUCUAGCAUCAUUUUUCAUAUACAGUAUGUUUAUAUACAAUAUGUAUGGUGUGGGCACAUGUGCAUGUGUAGCGUGGUGCACACAUUGAAGAAGCUCAGAGUUGGUUUUCUCCUUCCAACAUGUAGAUUCUGGGGCCUGAACUCAGGUUGUUUGGCUUGGUAGCAAACACCCUUACCCAUUGAUCAACCUCACUGUUCUUGAGACAGACUGACAAAAACAAAACAACAAAAAUCAAAACAACAAAAAUGUAUGAUAAAUAAAUACAUAUCCCCCCAUAACGAUUAAUUCCUGAUUUAAUUUAACUUUAGGUCAAUUCCAAAACUGCAUGUGACUGUCACUCCAAGGCAAGCCGCCACGGAGCACAGUGUAAUGUUGGAAAAAGAGCAAAAAGGUUUUGCAUUUUAUAAUGUUGCGCUGACCACUUGGCUUGGGUGCUUAAGGGUUUGGAAGGAGCUGUGCUAGGUAGAGAUGGACCUUGAAGCUUAAUUUGGCUUUACCACAAGGGGGCUUGUAUUCUGGUUAUCUCCUCAGUUCCAGCUCUCAGUGGCCCAGGAGUCUAAACUCUUUUCCUGGGCAGAGUCUCCAGGUCCAUGCCACCACCACCCAAGGCUGCACACACUUACUAGGCUCUUGGUGAGGUGUUGAAAUAUUGCUCGGCUUUGGUGCUGGAUCUGCACCAGCACUUUGCCUGGCUCUGCUAUUCUUCGGACCCUUUACUCCUUGUUCACAUCUCCUUCAGAGCCAGGACAAGUGUCAUUUCCUCUGCCAGACCUUUGUAACUCACUGGCCGAAUACCUGCAGCCACAGCUCACCCCCCCUUUUUUUGUAUUUGUUUUGCUGUUGUUGUUUGUUUUGUUUUGUUUUUGAGACAUGGUCUCUCAGUGUAACCCUGGCUGUUCUGAAAUUCACUCUGUAGACUAGAUUGGCCUCAAACUCACAGAGAUCUGCCUGCCUCUGCCUUUCAAGUGGUAGGAUUAAAGGCUCUGUUUUGCUUUUUGAGAAAGGGUCUCAGUAGCCUUAAGUGACCUGGAACUUGCUUUGUAGACCGGGUGUGGGCUAUCAUGCCUACAGUCUAAAUAGUGCCAUGUUUUGCAUUUGUCUCACACACUACCAUCAAAAGCCCCAAAGGGCAGAAAGUUAUUUAUUCUUCCAAGUGCCUGUGGCAGUGCCUGACACCUAGUAGUGACUAUGGCAUGGACAUCUUCACGGAUGGAUUCUUUGUGUUCCUGCCAGAGUGCUGUCUCCCGGCUAUUUGCUUGGCUCAUGAAACUGGGCGUGGUGUUUCAUGCUUGCAGUCCCAGCUGGAUCAUUGAAAGUUCCAGGCCAGUUUGUGCUAGAGAGUGAGAGCUUGUUUCAAAACACAAACGAAACAAACUAGGCAUGGUGGCACAUGCCUGUAACCCCAGUUUGUAAUCCCACAUUUGGGAGGUUGCAGCAGGAGGAUUGCUAUGAGUUUGAGUCCAGCUUGAACUACAGAAUGAGACCUAGUCUUUCAAACAAACAAACAAACAAUAAAACAAAGAGUUGGGGAUUUAGCUCAGUGGUAGAGCCUUGGUAAUGGUUCAGCCCUUCGCACCAGAAAGCAAAAUAAAACAAAACCCUACUUCAUUAAGAGUUCUGUAUUUGGGAUGUCAACACAACAUUUCUGAGGUAUCAUGCAGUGUAUGGAUAAAUAAUAAAUACUCAUACUCAACCUGACCCUUCUAGCAGUAAGAGAACAUCUAAGGUGUUGGUCACUCACUAUCCAAGACUUGGUGAGGGCUCAUUUGGGCUAGGAGUUAGUUUCCUUUUUAAACGUGCUCUAAGAGACCCAAGGCUCAUAGAGUAGUCAGGUCUGUAAUCCCAAUCACUUGAAAGGCUGAGGCAGAAGGAUCAGAAUUCAAGGCCAGCAUGUACAACUGAGUGAGAUCCUGUCUCACUGGUCCAGUGAUUACACUUACCCGGUGAGUGUGAGAUUCUAAGUUUAAUCCCCAGCACUGAAAAACAAAAACCAAAAUCCAAAAAACCCAAACAUAGCAAUCCUGUGAAGUGGUUCUAUCAUUCUCUCCCCUUUUAUCAUCAUCAUCGUCUUUUUAUUUUAUUUUUUAAGGAACCUAGCAGGAGGCUGGUCUCCAAGGAAGUUGGACCCAGGGGUGUGAGCAUGCAGCAUUGCCUGCGGGCGGCUGAUGCAACGCCCCCUCUUGGCCGUAGAACGCGUCGCUCUAGGUCGCUGAGGUUGCUGCGCAGCAGCACCUCGUCCCAUAGAGGUUGUCCACGUCCGAACACCAGGGGGCGCGAGCAACCUAGCUUUCGGGACUAGGGCGAGGCUGCCAGCCUGAAGAAGCCUGCUUGGCAUUUGUGCCCAAGGGUGGCGUCAGAACCAGCGUCUUUUAAUCCAGACAUGCAAGUUAAUCUUCCCUACCCUGCAACUCCGAUGGUCAAGGGCAGAUAACCUAGCUGCUGUAUGCUAGGCAGAGAACCCCACGGGAAGAAGGCAAGCUACCAUUACAUGCCGAUAGACUAGCCCAGGUUGUCAUUUAGCAGGGUUCCAUACAGAAUGACAUUAUUGUUCUUAAUGUCUCUUUGGUCCAAAUUCCUUUUGCUUCCCCUUGCUGUAUACAGUGCAGCUAUACCCCAUCUAUGCAAACCAAGACCUCUUUCCCUUCUGUCUGCGUGUAUUAUUUGUCUUAAGUCUCUAAGCUCUCUGAUCCUGCUCUCCUCUUAGGCUCUUGGACAGCCCCCACCCCAACUUAUCUGAGACACCUACUAUGUCUUAAGACAUGCAUUAUUGUGAGAUGUCACUUAUGUGAGACUCAUCUCCCUAUCAAUGUGUAAACUACAGCACUUAAUAACUAUAUGCUCAAUAAAUUAAGAGGCAGAUACAAAGUGGUGUGUGUGCGUGUGUGUGUGUGUGUGUGUGUGUGCGUGUGUGCGCGCGCGCGCGUGCAUCCAUAUUUCUAGAUCCAGCUCAGGGUUACAUAAGAGCCACCAGCAACAAACAACUGGUUUUCAUCUGUAUUUAUUUCCUUUUAAUACAGUAUCUUGCUAUGUAACCCAGGCUGUCCUUCAACUUGGGAUCAUAGACUUUUAUGCUGGCACACCAACAAGUCUCUAUUGGAUAUGCAAAUGAGGACCCACUAAUGUAUCAUUCCUAUUUUGUUCUGUGUCCUAUAUGUCUACAGCCAGCUGGGAUUACCCAACUCCCAGAAAGGAAGAGUGAGGAAUGUGGACUGAUGUGGGUGCUGGGGAGUUGUUGGUGGGGGCUGGGAGGCAUGAGGAGGCCCGGGGCAGGGAGCAGAGCUUUCCCAUGGUGAGAAUAAGGCCCACAUAGAGAAUGAGGGAGGGAGAGUUGCCAAGAUCUGAGUUAUAGCAGAAGGAAGCUGAGCCCUGAAUGGGAGCCUUGUGUGUGGCCCUGUGCUGCUGACUCACCAGGCUGAGGAGAGCGAAAACAUGCUAGGGAUGAAGAAGGGGCCUGUUUAUGCCCUGCCACCACCUCCAAACCGCCCUGCCACCCCAGAUUGCUUUGGUCAGGGGCUUCCUGAGGACACCAGCUGCCCCGAGGAGACCGACCCAGAGGUUUCCGAAGUGUCUCUCAUUUGAUUCCAUUAAAAGCAACCAGAAUCAGAAGUUCCCAUGGCCGAUGCUUGAGGGUGGAUUUGAAUGGAGACGUGACUUCACUACUCAAGAAGUGAUGCAGGAAACGGAGAAUGACUUAAGUUUUCAAAAGCACAAGAAAAUCAGCACCCCAACUGCUAAGUGUUCUGGAGGGUUUCUUGAGGGCUUUACAGAGCUCAGCCUGACAGAGUUCCCGCCCUUCAGAAGGAUUUCCACUCUACUUAUGCAAACCUCGGUUCAGAACACAAAGCUGGCAUUAAACAGUCAGAGAGGAUUAAAAGCAGUGUUGGUUUUUUGACAUUCAGAUUCACAGAGGAUCUCAUUUGCUGCAAGAAAUGCUCUGUCUUUUGUUUCUGCCGCAGAAUCACAUUCCCGUGGCAG